GCAGUGGUGGUUCAGUGGUAGAAUUCUUGCCUUCUAUGCAGGAGAUCUGUGUUCGAUUCCCGGACAGUGCA
rnacentral:tRNA from 1 species